AGUGAUCCUUCUGAUAAAACAGAAUCAUUUAGUUCUUGAUCGCUGUAAUCUUCACGUUCCUUAUUCAUAUGCAUGUAUAUAUUAUUUUCUAGAUACUUUUCAGGGUCAUGUAUCUUAAAUGAGUUAUUUUUGUCAGCUUGAAUUUACACCCAAAAAUAUAACGCUUUGUUUCAGUGUUACUCUGCCCACGCCUGCUCCAGCAAAACAUGCCUACAACAGCAUCUUAGGCGAGUAAGUUGCUGUAUCCGUCGUUGUCAGACACGUGACCUGCAUGUCAACCACACCCCCCAGCAUCAUUUUAGGUGUAUAACACACAUUGCUAGGGGAAGCCACAGCUGAAAUUGAAGCAGCACACGAGUCAUAAGCAUGGAUAAAAAAGAAGAAGGAUGAAUUUAUGCAGUACAUUGUAGAGUACCUCAAAUGAAACAAACAAAGCUAAGACGUUUCACUACUGCCAAAAAUGUCACUUGAGUAAGAGUAGUACUAGAGGCCGACCCAUGUGGGAGUUUUUAAAGGCUGAUGCCGAUACAGAAAAUUAAAGAAUUUAGUUGCCGAUAUCUAAAGCCGAUUAUUAAGACCGAUAUGAAUAUGUUUUAGCAGCCCAUUGAUUGUGCAAGACAACUGAACACUCACAGUGUGCAAUAUAAAUUAAAUAAGUUAAUAAAUCUCUUAUUAUUUAUUUAAUUUCAAAUAUAAAACACUCAAAACAUUAAAAAAAAAUGUGUGUUGAGGUCCUUCAGGUCCUUUCUUCAGUCUAGUAGUGGUGGCAGUUGGCCAAUCAGGUGCCUAAUAAAAAAUAAAUAAAUUUAACGGCUUAUAAUUUUGGCAGAUGGCUGAUAUAGAAAAAAAUUGAAUAUAUUGGUCAGCCUCUAAGUAGAACUACUUCAACAAAAUUAGAAUUAAGUAAAAAUAAAAAUUUGCCGCCCAAAAACAUUGCUCCACUAACACAGGCACUGUGCCAGGUUUUCAAUUUUGGAUUAGCCCAGACAAUAAUUUGUUUAAACAAGUCAUGAGUUGGUGGUGGUCAGGGUUAGGGUUAGCACACGAGUCAAAAGGAUGGAUACAAAAGAAGAAGGAUGAACUUAUGCAGUGCAUUGUAGAUCCCUACAACCUCAAAUGAAACAAACAGAGCUAAGACGUUUCACUACUCACAAAAAUGUCACUUGAGUAAGAGUAGUACUAGAGCAGGGUAUCUGCAGAUUUAAGGGAGCCGAAUUUAAGACUUUUAAAGACCUUUUUUAAGGCCACUUUGACCAAAUUUAAGCUAUUUUUUAAAUUAAAUUCAAGCUAUAAUUUCCAGCUAUUGCCUGGAACCGGUGCUAACCACAUCGCAAACGUGGGAUUACCCACCCAAUUACCAUUAAACUUGCACUUCCCCAUGGCGCAAGCUCCCACUAGCUUAACCAGCUAAUGUGCUCAUCUAAAAAUAGCCCCCUUUCACAACCAACUGAAUGUGUACGGUUCCGCUUACGCCAACAUCAUACCAAAAAAAUGCUGAAGACUAACUAUUAAUUCUUGUUCAUUGGGUCUUUGGUAAUUUAAGACCUUUGGAAACUGUAUUUAAAGGCACAGUCUGCAGGAUUUAAAUGUAGAAUAACUUUAAAAAUGUUUUAUUUUGACCAUCUGACCCAAUUUUAUUAAAAAAAGUAAAUAAUCUUUAAUAUUUCAAUUUUCUCCUAAGUCCCUCCCCUGCCCUGUAGAGCUCAGCCAAUAUUUCUGCAAGCCUAACGCGUUGACCAAUAGCGCUGCGUUACCACCAGGGGGCAGCUGUCAAUCAUCGAGCACGAGCAGGUCUCAGCGUGCACAACAGUGUCACGCGCCUCACUCGGCUUACUGCAGAAACAUAGAGCAACAAAACCCCAAAUUACCGAUUCCUCGACUGCCUUCCACAUCUCAAAAAACAUUUAAAAAGUUUAAAAGCCCUUCUUCAAAAGUGGCUGUAAGACGUUUGAGACAGUUGAGUAGAAUUUACAUUGGAGAUUGUUUUAAACGAUGGAGAGAUUUUCAUGAUCAACACGGCCUGAAAACGGAUGAAGAGUUGGCAAAGUAUCUUUUGGACAGGUAAGUUAUUUAUUGUUUUUCGGAUACAUUUACUUCAAAUCUUUCUUUCACUGAAGAAGUAAUAGAGCAAACCAGCUUUGUAUGCUUGGUGUCCUAUUGGCUAAUGUAGCAUUAGCUUGAAUGCUAAGUCGACAUGAAUCGAUGCUAGUCGAACUAUUUAUGCUAUAUUUGGAAUAUGUUUGAGUAACGAAAGGGGAUUUUAGUUUUAUUUGUAUGGGAGUUAAUGAGUAGUGUGGCGUUUAACUAUAGGCCAUAUCAGUGUAUUGUUUUAAGCUCUUGUUUAUAACUUCCCCGUUAGCGGGGUUCAGUUAGCAUCUUGAAUGCCGAAUUAGAUGUUUACACUUUCCUGAGCUGCGUGUUUGAUUAAAAUGAGUAAUCAGCAGCUCAUGUAGUACUUGUAGAAGUCUGAGGAGAUGAUUCAGCAGUUAGAAUUAGGUGUGAUUGAUCAGGAACGUAUCCAAAACCUUACGUUUCCAUCAGCACCGAAAGACAUAUUGUGCUAACCUGGGUGGGCCACGUGUACAGAUUACUGUCUGAUUUUGUGGUUAUACCUACGUGAAAACUCCAUAUUAAAAUAAAAGGAAUGAUAAUCAGCUCGUGCAGAAAUCUGUGAAGGCUGGGGAGACUUGUUUAGCUUGUGAUCACUAAUUUUUGGGCUUUGUUUUUUACAGUCAUCAGUCCAAAUAUGAAGUAUCAACAUCUACACCAUUGAAACGCCAACUGUUUAUUUCUCCAACACCAGUGCCAGCUUUGUCGAGCAUUCAUGGUGAAUCAUCUGAAAGGUAAAUAGCUGCCUAUAAACCUCUACCAGGAAUAUUAUAAUUUUGCCUCUGUUUGUUUUAAGUUAGUGGUGGAUUAUUUUGAAACAAUUCUAGAAAUUGGAUAAUGAAUGACUAUAAAAAAAUGUAUAGAAAUAAAUAGUAAAACUACAUUUUAUAUAGCGCCUCUCAAGAUAAAACUCUUGAGGCGCUUCACAACAACAAAAUUAAAAAUAUUUAAAAAAAAUAUAUUUUUAUUUCAAAGUUUAUGAGAAAAAAUAACACAAAUGUAUUUUUAAAAUGUAAAGAGAGAGACAGGAAAUUAUUUGUAAAGAAGGAAUUCAGUGGAUACAGAGAAAUGCGUAAUAAGUAGAGGGAGAAAAAUAAGGAGAUGGUGAUGAUGACGGCCAAUAGACGAGGUCUAUUACCUUCAAAAUGACAAAAUAUGUAUUGAUUCUAAUCAUAUUCUUGUGCUUGUAUUUUAUUUUCAUAGGGCUGAUAAUUUGGAGGAGGUGAUGGAACAAGGUGAAACUAAAAAAGAAGGAUCUUCACAAAUGUUAUCUUGUGUGGGAAUUGAAGCAAACAUUGACGAGGAAGAGUUCAACAAUAUUCAAAUCUCUGUGUAUGUAUUCAGAUGUUAAUAAAAUGUGUCUAAUUUUCCAUACUAAAAACUUUAUAUUGUGUAUAUUCAGGAUAGAGUCAUCAGAUGACACAUGGUCACCAAACAGAAACAAAAGUUGAUUUGUCUUCAGAGGAGGACGAAACCAUCGAGAUGGACAGCGGUACUGAUGACAGCGGUGAUGAGGACUACACACCUUAUAUACACAUAAGGACUGGAGCAGCAUUACAAAAAACAUUACAACUUGAGACUCUGCAAGAAAUUAACAUGGAGGAUACAGUUCAUGACUGUAAUAUCCCAGAAGCAACUGACCGACGUUUGACAAGCAAGAAAGGUCUUCCUCGACGCUACAAGCUAAGGCCUGAGGAUCCAAGGCGUUAUGGUUUGCUGUCCGGAGUUCCUGCACCAUCAACAGAGGAACUACUACAACACCUACGGACUUGCGGUGAUGGUAAAAUAAAACAUUAUCUGCCUUACAUCUUCCACACAAUAGUCCAUUGCUAAUUGAGUUUAUUUUUUAUUUACAGGUAAACUUUGCCACAGACAUAGGUGUUGGGGGAGGCAAGAGAAAACCCAAAACCUUCUUUAUUUUUGUUUCCUGUGUUUUUUUUGUGUGAAAAUAAAGAUAUAUUUUGGGGAAAUAAAGACUAAUAAUUUAAAAAUGUAUGUAAAAUGUUGGAGAUAGACAUAAUUUUUUGUUUUUGUGCAGGAGUUUUAAAAUUUAUGGUAUUUUUACAAAUACAAAACAAAGUCAUGCUUUAGAACACUUUAUUAGAGCAUCAAACAAAAAUAUCUAAAAACAAACUUAUGUAAAAUAUCAAAUAUAUACAUUUAUUUACAAUCGUCUUGGAAUAAAACCAGUGUAGUUACCACUGGGGUCAGGGAAUUUUGCAGAAUAAACUCCUCCAUGUGUGGUACAGUUGAAAUACAUGUCUGGGGAGGCUGUUGGCAGCAUUUCUUUUCCAAAUCAGUUGGCAUAUCU